rnacentral:rRNA from 1 species
AUUGAACGCUGGCGGCAUGCCUUACACAUGCAAGUCGAACGGUAACAGGUCUUCGGGUGCUGACGAGUGGCGAACGGGUGAGUAAUACAUCGGAACGUGCCUAGUAGUGGGGGAUAACUACUCGAAAGAGUGGCUAAUACCGCAUGAGAUCUACGGAUGAAAGCAGGGGAUCGAAAGACCUUGUGCUACUAGAGCGGCCGAUGGCAGAUUAGGUAGUUGGUGGGAUAAAAGCUUCCCAAACCGACGAUCUGUAGCUGGUCUGAGAGGACGAUCAGCCACACUGGGACUGAGACACGGCCCAGACUCCUACGGGAGGCAGCAGUGGGGAAUUUUGGACAAUGGGCGCAAGCCUGAUCCAGCAAUGCCGCGUGCAGGAUGAAGGCCUUCGGGUUGUAAACUGCUUUUGUACGGAACGAAAAGCCCUGGGUUAAUACCCUGGGGUCAUGACGGUACCGUAAGAAUAAGCACCGGCUAACUACGUGCCAGCCGCCGCCGUAAUAC